GUCUUUUAGAAUAUAAUUUAAAGUCUAACCUGCCCACUGAAUUUAUUUGAAGGGCCGCGGUAUUUUGACUGUGCAAAGGUAGCAUAAUCAUUAGUCUUUUAAUUGGAGGCUUGUAUGAAUGGUUGGAUGAAACAUUAACUGUCUCAAUUUGAUAAAAAUAGAAUUUAAUUUUUAAGUUAAAAAGCUUAAAUGUAAUUAGAGGACGAGAAGACCCUAUAGAUCUUUAUAAUUAGUCAGUUAUUAUUAAUUUAGUAAAUUAAUUUUUAUUAAUUAAUUAAUUAUUUUAUUGGGGUGAUAAAUAAAUUUAGUAAACUUUAUUUUAUAUAAACAUUUAUUUAUGAAUAUUUGAUCCAUUAGUAAUGAUUAAAAGAUUAAGUUACCUUAGGGAUAACAGCGUAAUUUUUUUAGAGAGUUCUAAUCGAUAAAAAAGUUUGCGACCUCGAUGUUGAAUUAAAGGUUAAUUUUAGGUGCAGAAGUUUAAAGUUUUGGUCUGUUCGACCAUUAAAUC
rnacentral:rRNA from 1 species